rnacentral:lncRNA from 1 species
GGGAAGGCUUACUCUCCUAAACAUUAGGUUAGGUUUCCUAGACGGAACUCUAGACUCACUGGAACCACAGGUUAAAGUCCUGGCAGGCUGUUCUGCCAAGUGUCAUACUUUUCACUUGACGCUCAUUUGCUCCCUAGUAUUUCUCCCUCUUGCUGUUCUCUGAAAUGUCACACAUUUAGCUGCUCUUUGUCAAGAGGGGAUGCUUAAGCCCAGAUUCUUCCACUCCUCUAAGUAUAUGUGUGCGUGGCUGUGCAGUCAGAUGUGUGUUAAGCUGCUUCUGAAGGCACAGGGACAUUUAACACAACACAGUUGAAGCAUUACGUUUUCUUGGAGUCACUGAUUUGGAAUACUAAAUGUCCAUCCCUAAACUACCGACCCCCUAGUUUCUAUAGGAUGCAGCCAUGGCAGUGAAAGUGGAAUCAUAGUGCUAUACAAACAUACCUGUAUUAACAAAGUCUUUGAAAAAAUUCUUUUCACAAAGUUUUUUAAACACCUGUCCAGCUCUCUUUUCCUCCAUGUUUCCUAUUUAACUAGAAUUUUUUAAACAAUACUGAUAUUGGGAUGAUGGUGAAGGAAGGCUAGAGAAACACCAAUUGUCAGUGUUGAGUUGCAGAAGUAUGUUUGUAGUAAGCAAUGCAAUAAAUCUUGAGUGACUGAGGGAGCUGGAUAUGUUUAGUCUGGAGAAUAGAAAGUUGAGAGGGGACAUGAUACUCAUGUUUAACAAUGUGAAAGGAUGUAAUAUUGAGGCGGGUGCAAGGUCAUCUACUAAUUUGUGGUUGAUGUAAAAUCUGAAAUGGAGACUUCAGCUCAUGAUCAGCCUCCCUUCUUCUUUCACUCAUAUACAUUGAGACUAAGAAGCAGAUAAAUGAAAGAAGAAAAUGGAUUGUACACAGCCUCACUCACACAUCAACUUUUCAGGCUCAAUUCCUCAGAAAACAGAAGAUAAGGAUUAAAGCAGUUUUGCCCUGUACUUGACUACUAAGAAAUAAUUGUUGGGCAAAGGCGUUCUAUAGAAUUUCCACUUAAAGUAUUUUUAUAUUUGCAUCUCUUUCUCUCUCUUGCAUAAUACUCCAAUUAAGCUUUAAUUUAUAUGUAAGUAUUAAUGCUAUAUUUGAAACAACUGCUGAUAGAUUGAAUUAUGCCUUUAAACCUAUUCUGUAACACAUUGUUGUUUUUUAAAAAACAGUUCAAAGACAGUCUUAUUUCUGGAGGUUUCCUCGCCUAAAGUCAACAACAACAACAACAAUAACAACAACAACAAUGCCAGGAGCAAUCAGUGCCCGAUUUCCCACUACUCCAGAAAUUGUUCAUUGAGUAGCCAGUAAUGUAUACAGAAAGCAUUUUGUAAAAAAAAAAAAUCCAACUGCUUUUGAAAGAAGUACGUAUUGUUAAAUAGAAACAGUUGGGUUGCUGUAUGUUGUUGACACACAUGUUUCAAGAGAGUCCAUUUUCCCGUUAACCAGCCUGUGAUUUUAAGCAAUUCCAUGGAGAUCCUUUUAUAUAGUCAAGAGAUGAUAAUUCUUCUUUGUGUAGGAGAUUAAAUUUACAGUUUUACAGUGUGGCUGUCAUCUUCAUUUCUGUAAGGUAUGUCAGAUUGGAAGACAGUAUCACUUACAUAUUUCACUAGGGCAACUAAAAAGGCAUUAAAUUUUUUGCAGGCUACAAGUUCCUUUUGUCAUGAAAAGAUGUCACAAAAAUAAAUAAAUAAAUAAAUAAAUAAAUAAAUAAAUAAAGCAGGCAGCAGAAGGAGGACGUGGAAGGUCUGAAAACCUUGAUAUUGAGAAAUCAUACCCCCAAAUGAUGAUAUGAAC